UCGUUGUCAUACGGUGGCGGACGCCGGU
rnacentral:sRNA from 1 species